AUAGUACUCCCUCCGUCCGAAAAUACUUGUCGGAAAAAAUAGAUGUAUCUAAAUGUAUUUUAGUUAUAGAUACAUCAAUUUUUAUCAAUUUCGCCAACAAGUGUUUCCGGACGAAGAAAGUAGAUA
rfam:Triticum aestivum genome assembly, contig: Triticum_aestivum_CS42_TGACv1_scaffold_112507_2AS